CAGCUCUUCUGCAAUCUGCUGAUGUUCAGUUUGAUGAUAUUGUUGUUGCAUGUGGCAGUGGUGGAACCAUUGCUGGCCUUGCUUUAGGAUCCAGAUUGAGCAGCUUAAAUACAAAAGUUCAUGCACUCUCUGUUUGUGAUGACCCUGAAUACUUCUAUGACUAUGUCCAAGGCCUGAUUGAUGGACUUAAUUCUGGUUUGGAUUCACGUGAUAUAG